GCUGGGCAUGGUGGUGCAUGCCUGUAAUCCCAGCAGCUCGGGAGGCUAAGACAGGAAGACUGUGAGUUCAAGGCCAGCCUCAGCAAUUUAGUGAAGCCCUAAGCAACUCAGUGAGUCCCCGUCUCUA
rnacentral:sRNA from 1 species